rnacentral:rRNA from 1 species
UACAGAGGUCUCAAGCGUUGUUCGGAUUCAUUGGGCGUAAAGGGUGCGUAGGCGGCGCGGUAAGUCGGGUGUGAAAUCUCGGAGCUUAACUCCGAAACUGCAUUCGAUACUGCCGUGCUUGAGGACUGGAGAGGAGACUGGAAUUUACGGUGUAGCGGUGAAAUGCGUAGAUAUCGUAAGGAAGACCAGUGGCGAAGGCGGGUCUCUGGACCAUAACUGACGCUGAUGCACGAAAGCUAGGGGAGCAAACAGG